AUGUUUAAGAUUAAUGUCGAUGCGGCUGUGCCACAGAGCCGGAGACGAGGAGUAGCAGUAGAAAUAUGCCGUGAUCAUGAGGGAAGCUUUCAAGGCGCAUCAGCGAUAGUGGUGAAGGGGGUGUUUGAUCCGCCGACUCUUGAAGCUCUUGUUGUCCGGGAAGCACCGGCACUUGCUGAGGAUCUCAACAUACAGAGAAUACAUGUUGCAUCAGACUGCAAGACUGUGAUAGAUGAUAUCAAACAGAAGAACCCGGCUAGCUACGGGGCGAUCUUACAUGAAAUAAUAGACCAAAGCUCUUCUUUCAGUAGUUGUAGUUUUGUUCAUGAGUUUAGGAGCUUGAAUUUCGAGGUUCACAAUCUAGCGAAGCAUGUUUUAAGUUUAGGGGUGGGCCGCCAUGUUUGGUUAAGACUUGGUAAUCUCUCGUUUGUACCUCUAAACUAG
rnacentral:rRNA from 1 species